AACAUUAGCUCAGCUAUUCUAAAUGAUGUAAAUAGAAAACACAUUCGUGCUGGUUGUUUUUGGUUUUGUUUUGUUUGUUUUGUUUUGUUUUGUUUUGUUUUGUUUUGUUUUGUUUUAGAGAUUAAAAAAAAAUCUAACAGAACAGUUUAUUUACUGGCCAAAAGCCAGAGACACUGGCCAGAGGAGCUGUUUAUCAGCUCUCAUUAAUUACUCUGAAAAUACCUUACCAUUCGAUGUCAUGGCCUUAGUCCAGUUUCAUCCAGGCUGAGCCACAUGGGUGCAUGCUCACAGAAAACAACUCUUGGGUCGUGUGUACCAUUGUAGUGAUUUGAAAUGUUAUGAAUGGAUAUUAACAAAAAAAAAGUAUACUCUUUUUGAAUGAUGAGAUUUCUUCUUUUAUUAUUUCUAUAAAGCUAAAGGUAUCAGGCAAUAAGCAGCAAUUUUAAUGUCUCACAUUUCUUGUACGUUAUGUAUAUUUACAUUUUCUGAAAAAAAAUUUAGUUCAUAUGGGCUGUAGUAAACUGGUGUCCUUGUUUCACUGUGCGAAUAAGAGUCAGUGUAAUAUGAAAUAAAUAGCUCUUUGCUAUGUUACUCCACUAACAGCUACACAGAUGUCAUACACUUUAUAUAGACUUCUCAUCUUUCCAAGAAGUCUUGUAUUUUCAUUGUUUUGUAUUACAUAGAAAGAUAUUUUAUAGUCUAUAUGCAAACUAAACUGCCUAUUUUCACAUAAUUUUAUGGGAAAUUAUAUAGUUAGUUACCAUAUGUAGAAUAUUCUCUUAUUUUAUUUUGUCUUUUUUUUUUACCUGUCACAACACUGAUAUAAAUGUUAUUCCAGAAAUGUACAGCAGAAUUAUAGACAUGAAAAACUAUGUACUAUAAUAUAAUAUAAGAUGUAAGAAAAGAUGUAAAUCACAGUGUAUUUCAUUAUCCCACUACAGUCUCUACUAUUUUUGAGAUUUGAUUUCUUUUACAAUGUAACAAUUUAAAAUGAAUAAAUGUAAUAAUUU
rnacentral:lncRNA from 1 species